CAGUAGCCGCGGUAAGACAGAGGAUGCAAGCGUUAUCCGGAAUGAUUGGGCGUAAAGCGUCUGUAGGUGGCUUUUCAAGUCCGCCGUCAAAUCCCAGGGCUCAACCCUGGACAGGCGGUGGAGACUACCAAGCUGGAGUACGGUAGGGGCAGAGGGAAUUUCCGGUGGAGCGGUGAAAUGCGUUGAGAUCGGAAAGAACACCAACGGCGAGAGCACUCUGCUGGGCCGACACUGACACUGAGAGACGAAAGCUAGGGGAGCAAAUGGGAUUAGAUACCCCCGUAGUCCCUGUCUCUUAUAC
rnacentral:rRNA from 1 species